UAUGCCACCCAGUUUCCUUGCCCCCGAGGUUAUUACAAUCCAGAUGCACUGACCCAGAGCCUGGACAGCUGCCUGCCUUGCCCCCCUGGCUACUACUGUGGGAAAGAGAAUCUGACCCAGGUAUCUGGGAAGUGUGAUGCUGGUCUGACCACUACCAGCGGAGAGUGCCAGGCCGGCUAUUACUGUGUAGAGGGUGCAACUGUCCCAGACCCAGAUGAUGGAGUGACCGGAGGCCCCUGUCCUGCAGGGACAUACUGCCCUGCUGGAUCUCACAGACCCAUCCCUUGCCCACCUGGGACAUUUUCCAGUAUCCAUGGGCAGGUAGCAAUUUCCAGUUGCCACCCCUGCCCAUCAGGCUUUUAUUGCAAAGACACUGGUCUCAAAGGCCCAAGUGGGCAGUGCCCAGCAGGUAAGAUGUGGAGAAUGAAUAGCCGACAUAUGAAACCAUGUCAGAUGAAAUGGGAGCUCUUUUUUUGAGGCUCCAUUUUUUUCUGUUUUGUUUUUGCUUGGCACACCACAACCAUGGGUGUCCCAUAGUGCACAGGAGAUCUCAAAGAGAAAAUGGCCUCCAAUAAAUGACCAAGUGAC
rnacentral:lncRNA from 1 species